UGGGGUGAAGCUCAGUGAUACAGCACUUGCCUCGCAUGUGUAAAUCCUUGGGUUCAAUUCCCAGCACCACAC
rnacentral:tRNA from 1 species